AAAAUGCUUAAAAGGACAUCAGGAGAUGUACACCACAGCCCAACACCUUUAGGACACACACACACACACACACACACACACACAUACACAGACUAUUGCACAAGUCCUACCGGGUGUUUUUUUUGUUUCACUUCUGCCUUUAGUUCUCAGAAGCAUAAAAAACACAGGAAGAACAGGAGGGGUUUAACUCGGUCACACACACAUCAUAUUGCUGCAUUUGAAAGAAACACACAGAAGGAAAGACUGACACUGAGCCUAGAGUCACAUUCAGCUUCCAGCUCUGUACAGAGACACAGAAGACUGAGAAGAAGAGGAGAGGAGUAAACAGGAGUCGAAGAUGGCGUCCAUCCCCUGUGCUUUGGUUGUGUUGCUGAUCUGCCUUAGUCAGGACCACAUGGGUGUCCAAGGAGACACUCAAGUCUUCUCAAGUGUGGGUGGGAAUGCCACUCUUCACUGCAGUAAUGUGGUUUAUCCAAACUGCUCUUCUACUGUGUGGGAUGAAUGGAGAUCUGGUGUAAAAUUGAUCCUCCAUGGAAAGAU